UGAUGGCCACCAGGGCCGGUCCAGGGCGGAAGCCCAACAAACAGCUGCUUUAGGCAUCAUAUUUGAAUUGAUCGGUAGUGUAGUGGUUUAUAGCUGCGAGUGUUUCCUCUGGUCUAAGGUUCGAUUCUGAUGGAGUAUGUUUUCUAACUUUUUUUUUCCAAAACGAUUUUUUACUUUUUUUUCUUCCUUAUUUACUAUAACAAUACGUGAUCUAGACUCUAAUAUUCUAAUCUUUUUUGAAUCUAUUAUAUUAAUUAAUUAUAAAUUGUUUUACUAAAAUAAUUAGUUACUAAACCUAAUUUUGUUUUACAGAGACGCUUUUCUAGUUUGCUUCUUCUUCAAUCUUCAAUUUUUCAUGGUCAAUCACCAAUUCACCACCAAGCUACAAGGUAGUUUUUUCUCACCAAUCUCUAAAACCAGUUUCUCUUUUAUAUUCUUAUCUCAUGUAUGUCUUUUUAUAUCAUAGAUUUAACAAAC
rnacentral:lncRNA from 1 species